GGCACCAAAGCCCUGCUGUGGUGUCCCCACCCCCGGCUCAUUCCACUUUUAAAUUCUUCAAAGGUUCAUUCGGAUUUUACGAAGGGCAGAAGAGCUUUUCCUUUUCAACACUCCCACUUCUUAUCAGUUAAAAAUUAGCUUUAAAAAAGCUAAAACCGUAGCUAACAUUUAUGUGCCCAGUAUUUUUGCGGACACUGUCGCAUUUAGCCGUCAAAACAAGCCAGAGAUCGGUUCCACUGAAACACCCCGUUUCACCGAUGAGGAAUGUCAGCCCUGGAGGGGUGAAGUCACUUGCCCCGCGGUCACAGUGCCGGCAAGAGCCUCUGAGCCCGCCUCCAAGUCGGGCUGUCUGAAUCCGAAAUCCACCUCCGUAGCCACUCACCUGAGCUCCUCGCCUCCUCUUUGCGUCCCCACCACCUGGGAGACAGACGGCUUUUUCCCGCCUAUCAGAUAGAAUACGCCGAUGUCGCGGGGGACGUGGCCGGGCGACUGGGAGCGGGCGCCGUCCGGGUGCUGCGCGCGGGGCCGCUCUGCUCUCAGCGCGUAAAUUCGCGGAGAAACGUGACCGGCUCACAGCAGAAAACGGUCUCGGAACGGUGGGCUGCUGCAAGUUUGCACGGGAAGUUUUGGGAGACGUUUCCUGCCGUCUGCCUUAAGUUAGGCCAGAAUGAAACAAGGACUUGUGGACAAAUCUUGUGAUGAAGAUGGUUGGCUGAUCAAGAUGACACUGAGUUACCCUUCAGAACUAGAUGGACAAAUGAGGGAAGCGUAUGAGAAACGGGUAAAAUCUACUGUGUGAAAAUGGAACCCCUAA